rnacentral:rRNA from 1 species
CAAACCUUAACUAGGCCGUAAAAAGCCUUAGUUACUGUWAGAUAUCCAACGAAAGUGACUUUUAUACUUUUGACUACACGACAAYUAAGACCCRAUACUGGGAUUAGAUACCCCACUAUGCUUAGAGCUARCCAUAAAAAAUUAUARACAAAAUUAUUUGCCAGAGUACUACCAGCAAAAGCUAGAMACUCWAAGGACUUGGCGGUGCCUUAUAUCCCUUCUAGAGGAGCCUGUUCUAUAAUUGAURMACCCCGAUAUACCUUACCAAUCCUUGCCAAAUCAGCCUAUAUACCGCCAUUUUCAGCAAACCCUAUAAAGGAAGUAUAGUAAGCACAAUAUUACAUAAAAACGUUAGGUUAAGGUGUAGCUUAUGGAUUGGAAAGAAAUGGGCUACAUUUCCCCGAAUUGAGGAUACCCACGAAAACUUAUGUUAAUCAUUAGUUAAAGGUGGAUUUAGCAGUAAUUAAGUAUAGAGUGCUUWAUUGAAUAAGGCCAUGAGGCACGCACACACCGCCCGUCACCCUCCUCAAGCUAAAAAUAUUAUUUUUCCAUAAUACCUAGUCACAUUAAUCAGCAUAGAGGAGACAAGUCGUAACAAGGUAAGUGUACUGGAUAUAGUGCACUUGGAUCUACACAAA